CAGCAGCCGCGGUAAUACGAAGGGUGCAAGCGUUAAUCGGAAUUACUGGGCGUAAAGCGUGCGUAGGCGGUGAGUUAAGUCUGCUGUGAAAUCCCCGGGCUCAACCUGGGAACUGCAUUUGUGACUGUAUAGCUAGAGUACGGCAGAGGGGGAUGGAAUUCCGCGUGUAGCAGUGAAAUGCGUAGAUAUGCGGAGGAACACCGAUGGCGAAGGCAAUCCCCUGGGCCUGUACUGACGCUCAUGCACGAAAGCGUGGGGAGCAAACAGGAUUAGAUACCCCUGUAGUCCCUGUCUCUUAUAC
rnacentral:rRNA from 1 species